GCGCCCGUAGCUCAGUUGGACAGAGCAGCUGCCUUCUAAGCAGCGGGUCCCGCGUUCGAAUCGCGGCGGGCGUACCA
rnacentral:tRNA from 1 species